UACGUAGGCAGCAAGCGUUGUUCGGAGUUACUGGGCGUAAAGAGUGUGUAGGCGGUUCGCUAAGGUUGGUGUGAAAUCUCCCGGCUUAACUGGGAGGGUGCGCCGAAAACUGGUGGGCUAGAGUGUGGGAGAGGGAAGCGGAAUUCCUGGUGUAGCGGUGAAAUGCGUAGAUAUCAGGAGGAACACCUGUGGUGUAGACGGCUUCCUGGACCACAACUGACACUGAGACACGAAAGCGUGGGGAGCAAACAGG
rnacentral:rRNA from 1 species